rnacentral:rRNA from 1 species
UACGAAGGGUGCAAGCGUUACUCGGAAUUACUGGGCGUAAAGCGUGCGUAGGUGGUUUGUUAAGUCUGUUGUGAAAGCCCCGGGCUCAACCUGGGAAUGGCAAUGGAUACUGGCAAGCUAGAGUGCGGUAGAGGGUAGUGGAAUUCCCGGUGUAGCGGUGAAAUGCGUAGAGAUCGGGAAGAACACCCGUGGCGAAGGCGGCUCACUGGGCUGACCUUGACGCUGAGGCGCGAAGGCGUGGGGAGCGAACGGG